UACGAAGGGGGCGAGCGUUGUUCGGAUUUACUGGGCGUAAAGGGCGCGCAGGCGGCUUUGUUUGUCAGGCGUGAAAGCCCCGGGCUUAACCUGGGAACUGCGUUUGAUACGGCAGGGCUAGAGUUCGGGAGAGGAGAGUGGAAUUCCCAGUGUAGAGGUGAAAUUCGUAGAUAUUGGGAAGAACACCGGUGGCGAAGGCGGCUCACUGGUCCGGUACUGACGCUGAGGUGCGAAAGCGUGGGGAGCAAACAGG
rnacentral:rRNA from 1 species